GACGAACGUUGGCGGCGUGCUUAAUACAUGCAAGUCAACUGAAGCAGUGGUAGCAAUAUCGCUGUGGAGGUGGCGCACGGGUGAGUAACACGUAGGUAAUCUGCCUUCAGGUCUGGCAUAACUCCGGGAAACCGGGGCUAAUAGCAGAUGAUGCAGCGGCUCGACAUCGAGACAGUUGUUAAAGCUAUGGCGCCUGAAGAUGAGCCUGCGUCUGAUUAGCUAGUUGGCGGGGUAACGGCCCACCAAGGCAACGAUCAGUAGCUGGUCUGAGAGGAUGAUCAGCCACACUGGAACUGAGACACGGUCCAGACUACGACGGGAGGCAGCAGUAAGGAAUAUUGCGCAAUGGGAGAAAUCCUGAGGCAGCAACGCCGCGUGAGGGACGAAGGGCUGUUGCUUGGAAACCUCUGUAGUGAGAGAAAAAAAUCCCAAUCUUUGGGACAUGAUGGUAUCUCAAAAGUAAGCCCCGGCUAACUACGUG
rnacentral:rRNA from 1 species